CAGAAGCAAGCAGAUAUAUUUAGAAAUACACCGUGAAAGCUUGCUUUCUAAGGUGUAUUUCUAAAUAUAUCUAUUUGGCGAGAGCCAAACAGCGAGAAAACCGCAGGUUUUUGAGCUGAGCUUGAACCGCAGGUUUUUGAGCUGAGCUUGAACCGCAGAUUUUUG
rnacentral:sRNA from 1 species